rnacentral:rRNA from 1 species
AGCAGCCGCGGUAAUUCCAGCUCCAAUAGCGUAUAUUAAAGUUGUUGCAGUUAAAAAGCUCGUAGUUGAAUUUCGGGGUUAGUAGGUUGGUCAUGCCUCUGGUAUGUACUGGUCUCACUAAUUCUUCCUUCCUGAUGAACCUUAAUGCCAUUUAUUUGGUGUUUUGGGGAAUUUGGACUGUUACUUUGAAAAAAUUAGAGUGUUUAAAGCAAGCUAACGCUUGAAUACAUUAGCAUGGAAUAAUGAAAUAGGACGUUCGAUCCUAUUUUGUUGGUUUCUAGGAUUGACGUAAUGAUUAAUAGGGAUAGUUGGGGGCAUUAGUAUUCAAUUGUCAGAGGUGAAAUUCUUGGAUUUAUUGAAGACUAACUACUGCGAAAGCAUUUGCCAAGGAUGUUUUCAUUAAUCAAGAACGAAAGUUAGGGGAUCGAAGACGAUCAGAUACCGUCGUAGUCUUAACCAUAAACUAUGCCGACUAGGGAUCGGAUGAUGUUAAUUUUUUAAUGACUCAUUCGGCGCCUUA